GACGAACGCUGGCGGCGUGCCUAAUACAUGCAAGUCGAACGAGAGCGACCGGUGCUUGCACUGGUCAAUCUAGUGGCGAACGGGUGAGUAACACGUGGGUAACCUGCCCAUCAGAGGGGGAUAACAUUCGGAAACGGAUGCUAAAACCGCAUAGGUCUUCGAACUGCAUGGUUUGAAGAGGAAAAGAGGCGCAAGCUUCUGCUGAUGGUUGGACCCGCGGUGCAUUAGCUAGUUGGUGAGGUAACGGCUCACCAAGGCCGUGAUGCAUAGCCGACCUGAGAGGGUGAUCGGCCACAUUGGGACUGAGACACGGCCCAAACUCCUACGGGAGGCAGCAGUAGGGAAUCUUCCGCAAUGGACGCAAGUCUGACGGAGCAACGCCGCGUGAGUGAAGAAGGUUUUCGGAUCGUAAAACUCUGUUGUUAGAGAAGAACAAGUGCUAGAGUAACUGUUAGCGCCUUGACGGUAUCUAACCAGAAAGCCACGGCUAACUACGUGCCAGCAGCCGCGGUAAUACGUAGGUGGCAAGCGUUGUCCGGAUUUAUUGGGCGUAAAGCGAGCGCAGGCGGUUCCUUAAGUCUGAUGUGAAAGCCCCCGGCUCAACCGGGGAGGGUCAUUGGAAACUGGGGAACUUGAGUGCAGAAGAGGAGAGUGGAAUUCCAUGUGUAGCGGUGAAAUGCGUAGAUAUAUGGAGGAACACCAGUGGCGAGGGCGACUCUCUGGUCUGUAACUGACGCUGAGGCCCGAAAGCGUGGGUAGCAAACAGG
rnacentral:rRNA from 1 species